ACGGAGGAUCCGAGCGUUAUCCGGAUUUAUUGGGUUUAAAGGGUGCGUAGGCGGAAAAAUAAGUCAGUUGUGAAAGUUUGCGGCUCAACCGUAAAAUUGCAGUUGAUACUGUUUUUCUUGAGUGUACAUAAGGGAGGCGGAAUUCGUGGUGUAGCGGUGAAAUGCGUAGAUAUCACGAAGAACUCCAAUUGCGAAGGCAACUUCCUGGUGUACUACUGACGCUGAGGCACGAAAGUGUGGGUAUCAAACAG
rnacentral:rRNA from 1 species